CCUACGGGAGGCAGCAGUAGGGAAUCUUCCACAAUGGGCGAAAGCCUGAUGGAGCAACGCCGCGUGGGUGAAGAAGGUCUUCGGAUCGUAAAACCCUGUUGUUAGAGAAGAAAGUGCGUGAGAGUAACUGUUCACGUUUCGACGGUAUCCAACCAGAAAGCCACGGCUAACUACGUUCCAGCAGCCGCGGUAAUGCGAAGGUGGCAAGCGUUAUCCGGAUUUAUUGGGCGUAAAGGGAACGCAGGCGGACAUUUAAGUCUGAUGUGAAAGCCUUCGGCUUAACCGGGGUAGUGCAUUGGAAACUGGGAUACUUGAGUGCAGAAGAGGAGAGGGGAACUCCAAGUGUAGCGGUGAAAUGCGUAGAUAUAUGGAAGAACACCAGUGGCGAAAGCGGCUCUCUGGUCUGUAACUGACGCUGAGGUUCGAAGGCGUGGGUAGCAAACAGGAUUAGAUACCCUAGUAGUC
rnacentral:rRNA from 1 species